GACAAUCAAAUAGUACACAACCAGGUUGAUAUAAAAUUUAAAUAUCAAAUUAACAUUAAAAAUACUUGAUAAGAAGUUACCAGUAGGAAAAACCUACAGUACGAUACUGUAAAUAUUCAGUUUGGGCCGCGUCAAAGCGAAACAUUUAAAAUGCGAUGUGGGUCAUUCCACUUCGCCACAAAAUUAGUCACAAAGGAUGCGAGCAACCUGGCCGUCUUGACAUGGAGUAAUCUCUACACAUUGAGUGGUCGACGCAUCGUGUUGCUUGACCGAUACUCGACACAAAACAAAGAACUCGUAUAUAUAAGGAGCUUUUUGUGUUCCGAGCGUGGUCGUUGGUGACUUGGACGAGAAUAAAUUACCGCCCCCAAAAUAAAACGGGCGUGAGAUGUCAACAGUUAACUUUGUUUAACGCGACGCAAGCGUCUCGGAGUUCUUUUCUGUGAUAUUAUAAAUUGUAUUUAUUUCGGUUUUUAUUUUAUAAGCAAGUUUCCGGCUCCCGGGUUCUUUAGGUCUGUAAAUUGAACAUCCGUUUCAAUGGAAGCAUUUAUAUCUUCGAUAAACCUUCUGACGCUUGCGGUCUUUUACAUAUUGCUUUUUGUUUGAUGUCCAUUGUUAUAUUCAUAUAAGCCUGAGCACAUCGUAACUACAAACUAAUACCCGUAUUCAAUUUAGGCAAACAUCAUCUUGGUCUUGGUCAUCGACUGCUCAGAUACCUUCCUAAUUCAGGCGAUAGUUAUUGAUCGAAGACACACUUAAAUUUACAACCGAACGCUUAGUACAGUUAUAAUUACGGUGGUACAAGAUUAAAGUUCGUCGGUUGGUUUAUCACGAUCGCGAAUAUCUAGACGCGUAGGCGUGGUUAGCUGUGAUUCAGAACUGGUUUUGCUAAACUCAUUGAACAUUGAUACAUGGAUAUGAUGGGGAAAGUAGAACUGCGUGAUUGAUGACGUGUCCGCUUUUGACAGAAGGUCUACAUUACAAAUUAUUUAUAUGACCAUUUGUUAUAUAAAAAUAGUGGUAGCUUAGGACCUCGGAAUUAAAGCGAAUAGUCGGGGUUCGAGACCGGACGGGCGUGCAAGAAAUUAAUAGAUUUUUCAAUUUAUAUGCACAUUAUUCACGUCAAUAUUGGCCCGAGACGAAGGAAAACAAUCAUCACGUUGUUUUCGGCAUGUCGAAGAAUCAAAAGUUCGACGGCAGGUGACAUCUGCCAACCAGCAACUGGCAAGCUAGGUGAAUCCUAGCCAUUUAGUCGUUUACUCAUGCUUGUUUGGAGGCUAGUGUCCCUUCAGUGGGGAUAUAUAUGGGCUUAUGAUGAUAAUGCUUAUGAUAAGUUUAUUUACCAAACAAGUGUUUGGUCAAAGUGCUAAUUAAUUCGUUAUUUAUACUAAUAAUUAUAAAACUGAAGAUUUGUUUGUUUAGUUGACAUGCUAAUCUCAGGAACUAGUGGUCUAAUUUGAAUAAUUCUAUCAGUGUUAUAUAGACCAUUUAUUGAGGGAGGCUUUAGGCUGUAUGUAACGUCAGGUACUUUGAGGGUAAAACCGCUGGGAACAGCAAGUAGCAGUUGUUUCAAUUAAAAUUCUCUAAACCUGAUUAUAGUAAUGCAGUUUACAUCUGGAUUCAUAAAUCCAAUACAUUACUAGUUAUUAUUCUUUGUAGACAUGGCAUAAGCAAUAUUAUUAAUACUAGAUAGAAAUUUUACACUUGUUUUUCUCAGGUUGGUUUAUAGACUAGCUGUUAUAUGUUAUUCAUAACAAUAUAGCCGAAAAGUUUAGUUUGUUUGAACUAACUAAUCUCAGGAUCUAUAGGUUUGGAUAGUUAACACUGGCAAAGCUGGGGUGGGCUGCUAGUGCAUGCAUAAUUCAAGAAAGGCUGGAUUGAUUUUAAAGAUUUUUUGAUUUGUGUCUGGUUGGAUUGGGUCAAUAACUGUUAACAUUUAAAAAAUGUACAAAAAUGUGUACUAAGUCAGAGUUUACCUAGCUAGUAUAUACUGUUCAGUAUACAAAUGAAAUUGGAGCAUUGAACAUGUAUUUGAAUUUUGAAGUUGUAUCUUAAUUAUUUAACAAACUAUUUGUUCUUUUAUGUGGUUGUUAUUUCUUAUACCUUAAAAUUAAGUUUGAUAUGUAUACUACCUUAAUAUUUGUAAAAUAAAAGUAUAUUUAAUACUAUUAACUAAACAUAAGAGUUAAAAAAUGUUUACCAUGGAAGUUAUUACUAUAUAAUAUGACACUGAUACUUUAAACUGUAAGUUGAGUAUAUUUGUAACUAUGUUAUAACAAUAUCUAGCUAUGUUGGAUGAAUAUCACAGUAAUGUAACUGUAAAGUAAAUUAUUGUUAAUUUUUUGUAUUUUGUUGACAACUGUUCUCUUUGUUAUGGUUUAUUUGUGAUUAAAUCUGAUUUUACAACAUA